GGCUCAUCUAUUAUCUCAUACAUAAAGAUCAGUCAUUUUCUCUCCGCCCUCUCCUUUCCCUCCCUUAGUUUCUCCAGUCCUUGUCUGGUAAUCAAGAAAAAAAUAAUGUAGAAACCAGCGAGGAACUGGGGAGGGGCUUGGUUUUGUCGUUUUUCAGCGGCAGCGAUUCAUUACUUCCUAGUCACACAUGCAAGUAUCGGAAACGGAGUAUAUGGGAGGAGAGAGACUGAUUUCAAAGAUAUAGAGAGACCUACGAAUGUGCUUCCUGCAGAGGAUGUCUCAUUUGAAGAGUCUCUGCCAAGGCAAGGCUCCAGGAGCACACUAGACCUCGGACAGCUCCAAGUGCCAGAAUCUGGACUUUGGCCAACGGAGACCAGGGGAGCCAGUGCUGUAUCCUGCAACACAGAUGAGAAUGUUGCUCCAGUGACUUCUUCCAGCAGGCUGCAAGUUCUUAGAGCUGCUGGCUAGAGGCAUGGUAUUGAGCCUGACCAGCAAAUAGAUGCCCAAAGCAAGCUGUACCCUGCCGCAUCCAAGCAUAUGCUGCCAGCUACUGGGAAAGUGGUGCUGGAGAAACUGGCAGAGAGUGAUCCAUACAGCCUGUGACCUUCUCUUGCAAAUAUCAGAACUGGUAAUCUGGAGGAGGCGCAGUAGAGCAUACAGAUGAAUCUGACAAUCAAGUGGGCGGCUAAGUAGUCAAGUUGGCAAGCUGGUGGGUAGACAGCAAAGCCAGUAGGAAUAGUCUGAAGAUAGCUUGGUCUUUAAAUAAACAAACAAAAAACAAGUUGAUAGACUAAGCAGCCAGAGAAGCAACUUUUUUUGUGCCAGGUGGAAUCCCAUUGGCCCUUCAUGUCACAUUGCCACUGCUGAGCUAGUAGCUGUAGUACUAUCCUCUGGCCAUUGACAGGGGUGCAGCAGAAAGCUGGCUAAUAUCUCCCUUUUCCAUCAAGCUGCCAUAGUGGCAAACAAAGACUCUUACGACUGGCUACCAGAGUCCCUCAUUCAAGAUCUCUGUGGCUUAUACCAAAAUGCCCCACUGCAAGCAUUUUCUUCAAUAGUUCGAUGUUCUGUCUGAUUCUUGUGCACAAUGAAUUCUUUUGCACAGAAAAGAUUGCCUACAUCAAAUAUUUACUAGCUGCUCUUUGCAUCUCUCUGUAUCCUGCCAUAUUUAAUAUAUUUCACUUCUAUGUAUUCACAGAAGUAUCUCAAAAGUCAAAAGCAGAAAAGACACAAAGCAGGUCAUUUAUUCUCCCAUGAGGAUAAGAUCAUCUCCUACAAUUAACCCCGCCGCCCCCGUUGAUAUCUGUUUCCAGAUGUACUGAUUUAGAAAGCAAAAUCUGCAAUCUUACAAAGACCUUUCAAGAGCAAAGAACUCCCUGCUAAAUGAGCAAAGAGGCACCUUUUAAAGUGGUGACUCUCUUAUACUGAGCAGGAGGAGAACAACUGGCCCUCUCCAACCUCGGCACAGCAUCCCUCCAGUGGUUGUUGCUGGUGUCUGCCUUAUGUUUCCUUUUAUAAUGUGAGCCCUUCGGGAGCAGGGAACCCUCAAUCUAUUUGUUAUUUAUGUUUCUAUGUAUACUGCUUUGGAAACUUCUGUUGAAAGUAGUAGUAGUAGUAGUAGUGAUUAUGAACAAAUGCAGAAUAAAUUGACAGCUUGGAA